GCGUCGUGAAGCUGCUGGGUGGCUGGGUGAUUGUCGAUCACUCGGGACGGGUUCGAUUCCCGUACGGCGCG
rnacentral:tRNA from 1 species